CGGCCAUAUCGCGUGGCAACACCGGUUCCCGUAUAAUCACCGAAGUUAAGCAACAUUGAGACUGUUCAGUACUUAGUUGGGUGACCGCUUAGGAAUACCAACUGCUGUAAU